UAGGGAAUCUUCCACAAUGGACGCAAGUCUGAUGGAGCAACGCCGCGUGAGUGAAGAAGACUUUCGGGUCGUAAAACUCUGUUAUUGAAGAAGAACGUGUGUGACAGUAACUGGUCAUGCAGUGACGGUAUUCAAUCAGAAAGUCACGGCUAACUACGUGCCAGCAGCCGCGGUAAUACGUAGGUGGCAAGCGUUGUCCGGAUUUAUUGGGCGUAAAGCGAGUGCAGGCGGUCUUUUAAGUCUGAUGUGAAAGCCUUCGGCUUAACCGAAGAAGGGCAUCGGAAACUGGGAGACUUGAGUGCAGAAGAGGAGAGUGGAACUCCAUGUGUAGCGGUGAAAUGCGUAGAUAUAUGGAAGAACACCAGUGGCGAAGGCGGCUCUCUGGUCUGUAACUGACGCUGAGGCUCGAAAGCGUGGGUAGCAAACAGGAUUAGAUACCCUGGUAGUCC
rnacentral:rRNA from 1 species